rnacentral:misc_RNA from 1 species
AUUUUAAUAUUUAAUUUAUUUAUGAAAAUAAAAUAAUAGUAAUACUAUGAUAACUGUAACUGAUUACGGAUGAUAGAGUUAGAUAACGACAAUAACUAAAUGGCGGUGAUGAUGAGUGGUGGUAGUCGUGGUGGGGUGGUAGUGGCUGAGUGGUGGCUUUGAUUGAUAGUGAUGGUGGUGGUGGUGAUAAUAGAUUAGUAAUGGUGCUAGUAACAUUGGUGAUGUUGACGGUAAUCAAAAUAAUAAUUAAGUGGUAAUA